CCCACACAGAGCUGAAAAAAACAGACCCUAGAAAGGGAGAAAGACAACGCGCUCAUAUCCAAAAGGCAGCGGACACUCUCCCUCUCGCCAAGUUCGGUGUCGGUGUCUCCAGAGUCAGAGCGCAAUGUGGUCGAUCUCCACACGACCGGUUGCGUGACCCCCGCCGAAGUCCCGGGCACCGAGCGUUCUCUCUGGUCGACACCGCGACCGCACGCGCGUACCGGCGACGGCGGCGGCGGCGGCGGAGGCAGCCGAGGAGACGGGGCCUUGUCCCCAGCAGGAAAGAGCUGCGGUCGGUUUGAAAGCUGAGAGCGCUGGAAUGUUGGAGCGCGUCCUGGAGCUUCUGAGAGAGAACGAUGGACUCGUGUCCCGGAAGGGCCCGGAGCUUCCGGAACGGUCCACGUUCAUUUCCGUAGCAUCCCGAUCCCGGCGCUUCGUGGUCGCCUCCGAACUCUUCCGCAGCUUCUCCCGGUGGAGCCAAAUGCUCAGCCGAGGCUUCCCAAGGCGGACCUUCUCGCUCGUUCCUAGAUGCUCGCUUUCGGGCUACUCAAGCUGUAAGGAGACGACGUCGCACGCCGGCGGGCUGUAAUGCCUCGGUCAGACCGCGACUCGGUUCCGAUCCUCAGGAUGGAAGACGUCGAAACUGUCACCGCCGUUCCGAUCGGUUCCACGGAUGCGGGGUGCGAACCGCCGAAGGGCUCCCUUCGAUCUCUCUACGUGAACCGCAUCCCCCAGUUCGUGACAUGUGCGCCAUGGGAAAUUAGUCAUCAUUUAAAAAAUAAAAUAAAAUAAAAUAAUGAUCAGGA